CAGCCGGCGCGCGGCCGGGCGUGCCCGCUGCGCACGCGUGCUGGGCCCUUCCGCGUCCGAGCGGCGGUGGCUCGGCGUACGGCCGCGGGGACGCCUUCGGGGAGGGCCCCGCGGAGGGGCGCUGACAGCCCGGCUUGAAUGGCUGACCCUUGGUCGGUCUCGGAUCCGGCCCAGGGCGGCGCCCCUACCUCGCGGCCCGGCCCACCGGGCUGACCGCUCAAACGCCUGCUCCCAGAUCUCUCCGUGCAGGACCUUUGAGCCCCACACUCCCCUUUCCUAAGACGGUGUCCUCUCCGCGAAGGUCGUGCGGGGAUGGAUGAGGGGACGCAGGGAAGGCAGGCUGGGCGAAAUGGGGUGGCCAGCUCCUGGGGCCCAGUGGACACGGUCUUCCCCGGAAGGCCACUCCCACCAGCCUGCGCUCCAGCCCAGUGGCACCAGGCGCUUUCUCGGGCCGCGCCACACUGCUUCCGCUCUCCCGUGCUUUGCUCCUCUCCGACCUUUUGCUUGGAAGGUGUUUUCCCUCCUUCUGGCCUCUUCUGCCCGACUCUUUUUCGCUAAUGUUAUCCCAGGAUGCCGCUUGGUGAAGGUCCUGCAGUGCGUACUCAGUGCAAAUCUGUUCUCCGGGGUGCGCGAAUGUGGAACUCCUGGUCUUGGCAGGCUCCCCACUCUAAAGAGACUGAAUUUGGCUGAAUGGCGUUCUCCCUAGGAGGCUCCUCCAGCACUCAGCCCUCACCGUCAGGAAGAAAUAGCCCGCCUGAAGUGGUUUUCCUGCACCAGAACUGCCUGACGCUGGACUGGGAUGGGUCUGCAGUCCCCAUCUCAGGCCUUUUGAUUUUCCCUGUGCUCCCCACAAGUUGAACACAAUUUUCCGUAGUCGCUCCACGUUUACAUAAGUGACAAGACUUCAGAGAAACAGGGUGGAAUAUUCAGGCAGCACAGGUGUCCUAGCUAGGGAGGUCAGAGAAUCUAGCUAGGGAGCGCUGGGUUGUCCGUUCACCGGCCUCCCUUGACCCUUCUUCCUUCUGCCUGCAAAGCACUGAGGGUGAUGGAAUGGAAAGAAAGGACCCUGGACUGCCAACCUUGGACUUGUUUGACUUAAAAUGUGCGCUUUCCGAGGCCAGAUCACUAAGAGCUCUGCAGCUUGCGCCUUCUUUCCUGCGGAUUCCCACUCCAGGGGACGCCAGCCCUGUGUUGGGAGGACACUGGAGCAGCUUGUGGAGAGGCCCCCGUGGGGUGGAACGGAGGCCGCCUGCCAAUAUCCAGAAACACCCGAGUCAGCCAUCUUGGUAGCCCACCUGCAGCCCCAAAGCUGGCUCACCCACCCUGAAUUCCCGACCAAAGAAACUGCACAUGAUAAUCAAUGUCUACUGUUGUUUUCAACCAUUAAGUUUUGGGGUAACGUGACACAUGACAAUCAAGAAUAGACAAGUUCCCGGGGCACGGAUCCCGGUGUCUCUGCCAUACGCCAGGGAUGUUCGUGGGCUUGGACGAGGUGUCCACUCCAGCGGGCCCAGAGCUCCCACGACAGUUGUUCUGUGGCAAGCCUGGAGGCCUCACUAUCCGUGCAGCCCCGUCCUCAGCCAAGGACAGUGGGAACUCUGAGACUCCCCUCUCCACGGAUUCCAGCAGCACCACUGCGUCCUCAGCUCAGUAAUACGGGGUGGCCUGGCUGGACGCCAUCUCUCUGUGCCAGGGCGGGAGACUGCCACAGUAGCAAGCUGGGGUGGGCAAGGUGGACCUCAGGAAUUUCCCUUCCCUGGGGAUUGCAGUCCUGCAUUUCCUGUUUUUCACACCUGAAAAGGGCUGCCUCGUCUGUUUUGUCCAUGUUAAUGAUUGGUUGCAGUGGAGGGCCAGUCUGGCACAGGAUUCUCUCCAAUAGCCCAUACAGGAGCCUCAAUCAAAUGUGUUUUUUUCAAAGGCAAGCUCUUUCUACGUUUGUGGGCAACCUGGUGAGCUCUGCAUCAAGCCUAGAAUUUAGUUAGUGGUGAUGGACUGACGUUGGUUUCUUAGUUGUGAUAAAGCUACCACGGAAAUGUAAGGUGUGGACAUUAAAGGAAAUGGGUGGGGGGAGCUCUGUGUUAUCUGUGCAUCUUUCCUGUAAAUGUGACAUUAUUGCAAUAAAAAAUGUUAAAUGAUC